rnacentral:rRNA from 1 species
GGCGGGGCAACGGCCCACCAUGGCGACGAUGUCUAGGGGUUCUGAGAGGAAGACCCCCCACACUGGGACUGAGACACGGCCCAGACUCCUACGGGAGGCAGCAGUGAGGAAUAUUGGUCAAUGGGCGGAAGCCUGAACCAGCCAUGCUGCGUGAAGGACUAAGGCCCUAUGGGUCGUAAACUUCUUUAGACGCAGAGCAAUAAGGGCCUCGCGAGGUCCGAUGAGAGUAUGCGUAGAAUAAGCAUCGGCUAACUCCGUGCCAGCAGCCGCGGUAAUACGGGGGAUGCGAGCGUUAUCCGGAUUUAUUGGGUUUAAAGGGUGCGUAGGCGGCGAAUUAAGUCAGCGGUGAAAGACCGGGGCUCAACCCUGGAAGUGCCGUUGAUACUGAUUGGCUAGAAUACCCUUGCCGUGGGAGGAAUGAGUGGUGUAGCGGUGAAAUGCAUAGAUAUCACUCAGAACACCGAUUGCGAAGGCAUCUCACGAAGGGGCGAUUGACGCUGAGGCACGAAAGCGUGGGGAUCGAACAGGAUUAGAUACCCUGGUAGUCCACGCAGUAAACGAUGAUGGCUAACUGUCGGGCCUGCGGGUUCGGCGGCCAAGCGAAAGCGAUAAGCCAUCCACCUGGGGAGUACGACCGCAAGGUUGCAACUCAAAUGAAUUGACGG